UUUUGUUGGGGGGGUACGGUACCCACUCCAAUCUUAACCUUUGAUAUUACUUCCCUUUAAUCCUGGUCAUUAAUUAAUUUUAGUAUGGAUACCAGUUACCGGUUAAUCUGGUUAAAGUAUAAAAACAAAAAAAACAAAAAAAAAACCGAAGAGGUUUCAAGCUCUGUUGAACGAGAACCUUGAGAGGCGAUGUGCCAUAGCUAUCAGCCUAUCACUACUACACAGCAGCCACCACCGCAAAGCUUCCGCCAUUGCUAUCGGUACGCUUGGUCAGAAAUUCGUCCUGAAGAGUUCAAGUUCCCAGCCAUCAAAUUUGGUUCAUUCCUUGUCAUUUCAGCAUCCGCUAUAUUACCAUUGGCAAGCACCCUUCCUCAAUCCACAAAUGGAAUCUUGAAGGUGAUUCGCUAGAUUGAGAAAUGCACUAGGUUGCAGGAGCUCUCGAAAGUUUACUAUGCUACUAUUGGACCCUUGGAAUGGUACGUCAGGGAAAUCUUGGACUGUGCCCUGCCAAAACCUACUACACCAUGUCUAAUAAAUAACUCUUUUUUUAUUCCAACUGGUCAAUUGCAGUUUUGGCCUUAGGGAAUGCAAGAAUCAAGUUUGGCCCUAGGAAAAAAAAAUGUUGAAGUAUGGACUAUGGAAUAGACCUGUCAUGAGUCAUGACUAUGGCAUUAUUUUUGCCUUAUACUGUUGCUAUUGUAUAAUCAAAUCAUUGAGCAAGUUGUUGCAUCUUUAUGUCGUA